UUGAUCAUCUUCUCAGUUUCAUCUGCUGACUGCUGCCAUCCUCUGUACCAUAUCUCUGUCUCUCUCACUUAAGCUCCUUCACUGUAAUUCCCACUCUCCCUGUAUUCUUCUCAUUCCUGUCACUCCAGAAACCUCAGAGACUCCCUGGAAUCCCACUCCCACCUGAAACCCUCUCAUGCCUGGGCACCAAGCACACCUCCUUUUAAUACUGCCCAUUUUGGAGGCAAGGAAACCAAGACACUGAGGUGAAGAGUUGCAUCCCACGCCGCAAGAUGGGAUAGCCACAUAUUGGCGUCGGAACCCAAGGCAAGUUCCAUGAGGCCCUGUGUUCUGGCUCUUGAAAGGGAAUAUUUUGCGUAUGAAGGAUGACUGCUUUUGCCAGAACUCAUGAUGAAGUGGCAACUGUUCGCUUAAUCACAGGCCUACAGAACAGCCAGUUGGUGGAGUGGGAUCUAGGAGGAGGAGCAGAGCUCCCUAAUCCCCAUCCCUGCUCCUCUGGAGCUGGCUAGAAGCUACAGGACUCAUGCAUCCGGACUUGAGCUCUAAUCACUCUUGGUGCAUGCUCAUUGUACAGCCACUGUGAAUGGAUCAUGCUUGAUGCUGCCUGCUAGACUGUCUCCUUCUACUUCACCCUCCUGGCUUUAACAUCUCCCAGAGGAGUGCCAUUGGAUUGGGCCAGAGCAAAGUUUGAUGGCCAGGUCUUAUUUUCACUGGACUUCUGAGUCUCACGGAGUUGCAGAUGGGCUGGAUUUUGCUUCAGUGGCUAGCAGGUUUCGCUUUCCAGCCCUGUCCAGCACUAUAGUUUUUCCAAGUGGAGCUCUCCAACUUCUCUUAACCUCACUACACAGCAGUCCGUCUGGGAUUAUGCCUUUCCAGCUGAACACUUUGGUCCUGCAUGAUUUCGAAAGAUGUCUUUGCAUGUCUUUGAAAUGUUCUGUCUGCUUGCCUCAUAUGUGUAGUUGCCUCCUACAUUUCCAUAAAGCAUCUGCUAUGAUAUUAUUCUCUUCACAUGUCCAGGAUAAUUCAGUUGCAGUGAGCGGGGCUCUGAUGCUUGUGGAAUAACUAAUUUUAUGUAACUAUAUAGACACCAAUGUGUUCAUGUGUGUGUAUGUGUGCGUAUGUAUACAUUCAAAAAAGAUGUCACAAAGUCCAAAUUUAGCCAGAGUUUUUAAUUGGAAUAUAGCUCCUCAUUAAAAAUAUUAAUUUCAGCAUAUAUCAAAUUAUCUUUCACUUCAUAAUCCUAAUGACAAACAUUGGGUGACAAAAUACAACUUGAAAUUACAAAGAAUUAGUAUUAAAAAUUAGGGGUCUAGCCCAGAGAGGAAUUAAGUAAGGCUGAUUGUUAAGAAGCAUGUAGUUUCUGCAGUAUCUUCAAACAGACGUUUUUGUCUUCAGCCUUAAUAAUAUUAAUAAUCAUGGUGUUUGUCAUGCAUUUACACUGUAGAAAACAAUUGAACUAACUGAUGGGGCAAAGACAACAUAGGUAGAUUGGACACAGUUUCUGUUCCAUCUGGGGCUGACAGUUUGAGGGAGGGAGAAUGGGUAUUUUAUCCCCAAUUUUUACAGAUCAGAAAAAUGAGGCCCAAAUAAAUUAAAUGACUUGGCCGAGGUAACACAGCAAGCAUGUGGCAGAGCUGGGAUUAAAGCGCACCUUAGCUAAAGUUAUUCAACUAGUUUUUGGUCAAAUAUAAAGGGCAUUUGCUUCUUGUACAAGUUGUCCUUGACUUAAGACAUUUUAACUAAUGGCCAAUGUCUCAGAAGGUUUCUAAAUUUACACCAUGUGACAGCUUUACAACCCAGCAGCACAAUCUCUGGGUGCACGGAUGGAGGCGAUAGGGUUGGGGGGAAUGUGCAUUGGAGCCAUCUGAAAAUGGAGAAACAAUUUUUAAAGUUGUGAUGGGGUGGAGAAGGGCAAAACUUUAAGGAGAAUUGGGCGGUGGGGUGGGGGGGCAGUUGGAGAAGGAGAGGAUGGGUGUUUCCUUAAGAUUGCAUCCUUAAAGCAAGGCUCCUUAUUAUCCCAGGAUAUUGUUUGAUUUAUAUCUGUUGCCUGGAGGGUCCUCAUUCUUUGGUGCUUUUCUGCUGAGCAUCUGUAAGGUUUGCAACUUAAAUGGCUCUCAGCCAGAGCCUUCACAGGAAUAAUUUACUCCUUAAGGAUUUGAAUAAGAGGUUUUUUUUCCUGUUGAAAAAUCACCCCCCAAAAUAUAAUUUCCUUUCUGUGGAAGGUACUACAGAAUUCAUGGUGGUAUACCAGGUGUUUGGGGAAAACAUAAUGCCCAAAGCACUACUUUUCUGAGAUGACCCCUCCUUUAAGAAUGGUUCAGAUAUUUAUAUUUGUGCCUCAGCAAAAUGAAGCAGGAUCCUAUUAACAUUAUUCACUGCACUUGUGUCCAUGACCUGCCAAGUGUCCAUUCCGGUCAAGCAGUCCGGCUGGUGCCAUACUUGCUCCGAGAAGCUGGAAGAGGAGAGGAAUGAUGGUAAUGGGAUUCAGAGACUGCGGGAAUUCAACCCAUCGCAGCCACCGACGACUGUGUAAAUCUUAAUCACCGCUUGCUUGUGUAGUGAUAGGGCGCGGGCCUGGGAGUCGGAAGGUCAUCGGUUCUAAUCCCGCCUCCGACACUUAUCUGCUGUGAGGCCUUGGGCAAAUCACUUCACUUCUCUGGGCCUCAGUGACCUCAUCUGUAAAAUGGGGAUUGAGACCAUGAGCCCCACGUGGGACAGGGAAUGCGUCCAACCGGAUCUGCUUAUAACCACCCCAGCGCUCAGUACAGCGCCUGGCACAUAGUUAAGCGUUUAACAAGUACCAUUAUUAUUAUUAUUGUUUCAGCUUCCCCAUUUUGAGUGAACUUUGAUUUAUAAACUUUGACUUGGGGUGGGGGGUGUAACAUGUGACAACAAUGCCUUUGCGUAAUGCUAUGGAAAUAGCAAAGUAGGAGAAGCAGCGUGGCUUAGGGGCAAGAGCCCGGGCUUGGGAAUCAGUGGAUGUGGGUUCUAAUUCAAGCUCCACCACUUGUCUGCUGGGUGACCUUGGACAAGCCGCUUCACUUCUCUGUGCCUCAGUUACAUCAUCGGUAAAAUGGGGAUUAAGACCGUGAGCCCUACCUGGGAGUACCUGAUUACCUUGUAACUACCCCAGUGCUUAGAACAGUGCUUAAUAAUAAUAGUAAUAAUAAUAAUGUUGGUAUUUAUCAAGCACUUACUAAGUCACUUGACUUCUGUGCCUCAGUGACCUCAUCUGUACAUGUGAGCCUCACGUGGGGCAACCUGAUGACCCUGUAUCUACCGCAGCACUUAGAACAGUGCUCGGGAACUAGUAAGCACUUAACAAAUCCCAACAUUAUUAUUAUUCUCUGACCCUCAGUGACCUCAUCUGUACAAUGUACAGAUGAAGACUGUGAGCCUAAUAUGGGACAACCUGAUGACCCUCUAUCUACCGCAGCACUUAGAACAGUGCUUGGCACCUCGUAAGCGCUUAACAAAUACCAACAUUAUUAGCUCACCGUCCCCCAUUCUCCCCUAUCCUGCCGUCGACCCCUGACCCUGUCCUCCCGCUGCCCUGGAAUGCCCUCCCUCCUCACCUCUGCCAAACUAAUUCUCUUCCCCUCUUCAAAGCCCUACUGAGAGCUCACCUCCUCCAAGAGGCCUUCCCAGACUGAGCUUCCCCUUUUCCCUCUGCUGCCUCUCUGCCUCCCCCUUCACCUACCCUCAGCUAAGCCCCUUUUUACCCCCCUUUCCCUCUGCUCCUCCCCCUCUCCCUUCCCCUUCCCUCAGCACUGUGCUCGUCCACUCAAUUGUAUAUAGUUUUUUAUUACCCUAUUUAUUUUGUUAAUGAGAUGUACAUCCCCUUGAUUCUAUUUAUCGCUAUUGUUUUUGUCUGUCUGUCUCCCCCAAUUGGACUGUAACGUGGCUCAGUGGAAAGAGCCUGGGCUUCGGAGUCAGAGGUCAUGGGUUCGAAUUCAGAGUCUGCCAUUCGUCAGUUGUGUGACUGUGGGCAAGUCACUUAACUUCUCUGUGCCUCAGUUACCUCAUCUGUAAAAUGGGGAUUAACUGUGAGCCUCAUGUGGGACAACCUGAUUACCCUGUAUCUCCCCCAGCGCUUAGAACAGUGCUCUGCACAUAGUAAGCGCUUAACAAAUACCAACAUUAUUAUUCAUUCAAUAGUAUUUAUUGAGCGCUUACCAUGUGCAGAGCACUGUACUAAGCACUUGAAAUGUACAAAUCUGUAACAGGUAGAGACAGUCCUUGCCCUGUGACGGGCUUACAGUCUAAUCGGGGGCGACAGUCAGACAAAAACAAUAGCGAUAAAUAGAAUGCUAGGGCAGGGCCCGUCUCUGUUGCCAGUCUGUACAUUCCAAACGCUUAGUACAGUGCUCUGCACAUAGUAAGCGCUCAAUAAAUCUUUAUCACCCUAUUGAUUUUGUUUAUUUUGUUUAAUGAGAUGUACAUCACCCUGAUUCUAUUUAGUUUCCAUUGUUUUUAUGAGCUGUUCUUCCCCUUGACUCUAUUUAUUGCCAUUGUUCUUGUCUGCCCGUCUCCCCCCAUUAGACUGUAAGCCCAUCAAAGGGCAGGGACUGUAGCUGUUGCCGACUUGUACGUUCCAAGCGCUUAGUCCAGUGCUGUGCACAUAGUAAGCGCUCAAUAAACGCUAUGGAAUGAAUGAAUACUAUUGAGUGAAUGAAUGAUUAUUAGCGAAUGAAUGAGGAGCUGGAGAGCAAAGGCACGUCGGCAAGGAGCGGGGGCGUGGCCGAGCAGGGGGC
rnacentral:lncRNA from 1 species